UACGUAGGGGGCAAGCGUUGUCCGGAAUCAUUGGGCGUAAAGAGCGUGUAGGCGGUCCGGUCAGUCGGUUGUGAAAGUCAAGGGCUCAACCCUUGAAUGCCGGCCGAUACUGCCGGGCUAGAGUCCGGAAGAGGUGAGUGGAAUUCAUGGUGUAGCAGUGAAAUGCGUAGAGAUCAUGAGGAAGACCAGUGGCGAAGGCGGGUCUCUGGACAGUUCCUGACACUGAGACACGAAGGCCAGGGGAGCAAACGGG
rnacentral:rRNA from 1 species